rnacentral:rRNA from 1 species
GAUGAACGCUGGCGGCGUGCCUAAUACAUGCAAGUCGAGCGAACGGACGAGAAGCUUGCUUCUCUGAUGUUAGCGGCGGACGGGUGAGUAACACGUGGAUAACCUACCUAUAAGACUGGGAUAACUUCGGGAAACCGGAGCUAAUACCGGAUGAUAUUUUGAACCGCAUGGUUCAAAAGUGAAAGACGGUCUUGCUGUCACUUAUAGAUGGAUCCGCGCUGCAUUAGCUAGUUGGUAAGGUAACGGCUUACCAAGGCAACGAUGCAUAGCCGACCUGAGAGGGUGAUCGGCCACACUGGAACUGAGACACGGUCCAGACUCCUACGGGAGGCAGCAGUAGGGAAUCUUGCGCAAUGGGCGAAAGCCUGACGGAGCAACGCCGCGUGAGUGAUGAAGGUCUUCGGAUCGUAAAACUCUGUUAUUAGGGAAGAACAUAUGUGUAAGUAACUGUGCACAGCUUGACGGUACCUAAUCAGAAAGCCACGGCUAACUACGUG